UUGUAUAAAUCAUUGAACUAAGUUUUUAUAAGUAGAAUAGAUCUAGUCUUAUAUGUGGGUACAUUUUAUAUUAAGGUCUUAGUUAUUUUUCUCCAUUUCUUUACUCGCUUCCAGUCUAGUUUUUUACUAAACUUAUCACUAUGGCCACCACGAACGCCAUGGCGUUAUCCAUCAAAAAUUUGUUGUGAUGGUUCUGUAUAUCUGAGAAAUGUGACCAUCAUAUUAAGAGAUGCUGCUUCUCUGUAUAACAUCAGCUUCAUUGAAAAAGAUAUAAAUGGUUAAAAAAGGCAUAAAAUGUUUGAAAACAUAUAUGAUAGCGGACUUUGUGAAGAAAGUAAAGAAUGUUCCUCAAUUACACAUUGAAACAGAUUAACCAACAGACUCAUAAACUUCAAAGUCUCAAGUAGCAUUUCCUCUAGCAACCUUGACAAAAAAAAAGGUUAUAUUUUUUAUGUAAGAACUGUAAUGCAAGUUUUCAAUUUAUUCUAUUAAAAAUGUGUCACAUAAGCACAGCGAAAGAGAAGUUUAAAGAAGACUAAAAAUGUAAAAAUUGUUGAAGAAGCUCCAGAGAACACUGAAACAUCUUCAGAAAGCAGCGGAGAAAACACUAUUCUAAAUACUCCAUCUGCUAGUAGAAUCGACAGCGCAGAUGUCCUCAUUGAGGCAGAGGAUGAGGAGUACCAUGAUGAGGAACAAAAGAAUAUGGUAGCACAGUUUGCUGAAGGAGGCAGUUUAGAAAGUACUAGAGGUCCAAGUUUCAUUGUAGAGGAAACAGCCUCAUCUAUAGAUACAAAGGCUGGAGGUACGAAAAAGAGAAAAAAAGGUGGAAAGAAAACAGAUGGGAGUAAAAAAGGCAAGAAAGGGAAAGGCAAGAAAGGGAAAGGUAAAAAGGGCAAAGGGAGAAAGGGUCAAAAGGAUGGUCAUUCAACAUCCCUCAGAGCUUCUAUGUCCUCUCUUAUGAUGAGUGAUGCCUCUUUCUUUAACUUGCAGUACAUUGCACAUGAUGCACCCCAUGCUUUGCAGAUACGGGGAUUUGAUUGGCCAGAAACAAAAAAGAAAAAGGGAAAAGGAAAAAAGAAAGCAAAAAACUGAAAAUCUUCUGAUCCAUUGCGAAUUGAUACUAGUUUGCAGAAGCUUGUUUGUGUUGUACAUCUUAAAACAUUAUUUGCUAAUAAUUAUUAUUCACAUUUUUUUAAUUUUAUCCAUUUAUUGUGUAUCUUAAAAAAAAAAUUAGAGGCUUUGAAAAAUUAAAUAUGAUCUUACAUUAAAACUGAUUAGAAAAAUUAUGUACGAAAGUCAGUGAAGAUUUUUUAAAGUAGAGUAAAGAACAAAAAAGAGAAACACAAUAUCUUUAUAUCUUUUUAGAUUGAAUUUCUAAAUAUUUUAAACUAAUCUUUAAAUAUAUGUUUUACGUACAGUAGUCAUCUUUUAUGAACUAUUUCAAGGAAACGUUAACAUUUGUAUCAGUUUCACCCAGAAACUAUUGCCAAGAACUAACUUAAUAUGAAAAUCUGAAAAAAAAAUUAAUAUUAAAUUGGAUGUUUUCACCAAGCUUAAGAGCAUAACUCAGAUACCGGUAAUAGAUAACUCAGAUAACUUAAACUUAAUUUCUAAAACUUCGUAUUCUAUUUUUUUUUUUUUACAUCUUCUGAAUUUUUCAUCAUAAAUCAUUUUGCUUUACUGUUAUAACGCAAGUACAACGCAAUAUGUGAAGUAUAAAAAGAGAUAUUCGUUAGAAAGGGGUGUUUUUUUUGUUUUAUUUUGAGACAACACUUCACAUAAGACUUACUCAAGACUUAGGUCCUCCCAAACUGCUUGGCACAUUGGGGGGCAAGCUGUCUCCAUAAAGAUCUGUCGCUGGCAAUAUCUGAAGCCUCUUCCCACCUGGUGUCCACUGCUCUGGGGUCUUCCAUAAAAGACAAGAAACUCAUUUAAAAAAAAGUUUUUUACUAACUACCUAAUCCUUAAACCCCUCCAUUCCAAAAGUAAAAAAAAAGUAAUAAAAUUGCACAGCUUGUUAUGACUUUUCUGUAAUUUUCAGUAUGUUCCUAUGUAAAUGAAGAUUGUAUCAUAUCUCAGGCCUUUAGCAGGAAAACAAGGGUUGGUAAAGUGCAAUGUAUUUUGUAGAUUAUCAAAACAUUUGAUUCUACAAAGAAAUUUCUUUUGUAUUAAAGUAUUAAAUUGUUAAAAUAUGUUAAAUAAGCUAAAAUAUUUUGUAUAAAGCAUGUUGUAGCUUCUGUUUUGAUAGAUAAAAAAAAAGAUUAAGCCUUUAGCUUAGCCUCUAGCUUAAAGAUAAUGAUAAUUCUGCAACAUUUCUCCCUCAAAUCUUGUACCAUUUUUGUUAUUUUCUUCUUUAUUAUGCAGUUUUAAGGCCAUCCAAAAAUAAACACAAUUCUCAAGUCAAAA